UACAGCCAUAUCACAUUGAAACACCCAUUCUUGUUCAAUCACCAGAGUUAAGCAACUUUGAGCCUGGUCAGUACCUAGAUAGGUGACCAUUUGGGAAUACUUGAUGCUGUAAG